CAGAGACACGUUGUCCAACUUGUUAACACAAAAGAAAGCAUGCUCUAUCAUGGACCAACACAACAACAACAACUAUAUCAGGUCCAAUACAAACAGCAGCUGCAUGGCCAUAGUGAUCAACUAAAAGCUGCUUAUCUUAGUCAAGGGCAGUGCAGAUGUAUAAAGGGGAUAGCGUUGAAAUCUAUUGCCUAAUACACUCAUUGGCUAACUGAAGACCUGGAUCAAUAUUGAGGAGUCACCUGACCUGAGUGAAAUCUGUGAUCCAGACUCCCAUGUGCCCCAAGAUAUUCUUCUAUGGAUGGGAUCACCCGUUCAUGCUUGCUUGUCUUUAACUUGGAGAUUGCUCAAAAUUUUGCUUUCUAAUAAAGAGUUAACUUUCUGCAUCA